GAGCGCCCGGGCCCGGGCGGCGGGGCGUGCGAGCCGCGGGGCGGAGAGCCGAGCUCGGGGCCGGUGCGGCGCGAGCUCAAGCAGUUCCUGGGCUGGCUCAAGAAGCACGCGUACUGCUCCAACCUCAGCUUCCGCCUCUACGACCAGUGGCGAGCCUGGAUGCAGAAGUCGCACAAGACCCGCAACCAGGGGAAGGCUUCAACCCAAUUUGUGAAGGUAUCAACACAGACUAGCUUAGCAGCGGAAGGACUCAUCAGUAUCUCCUGAUGGAAUAAGUACCCUUUGGCAUCAUCUUGCCAGAUCCAUCUUCCCUGAGUGCGGUCCCACCCUCUCCCACCGCAGCCAGGUCCUGAUCUGCACAGGCUGCUCCUGCUGCCAGCCUGGAUGGGAAGCCAUCCCUUACAACACACAUGCCUUCCUGUCGCAGCCUCUCUCCUCUCUAACUCCAAGCUGGAGCACCCAACACUCCUAGCUUCCUUCUCAAUUACACCAAAACUCUCCAGACCCCACACCACGAACAUCACUUAGUAUCUGCCAACCACUUGCCAAGCAUUGUUCACAUAUAAAAGUUGACUUAAAAAGACAAAAGAAUCGACCGGGCACAGGGGCUCAUGCCUGUAAUCCCAGCACUUUGGAAGGCCGAGGCCGACGGAUCAUUUGAGGUCAAGAGUUCAAGAUAAGCCUGGCUAACAUGGUGAAACCCUGUCUCUACUAAAAAUACAAAAACCAACUGGGCGUGGUGGCGGGCGCCUAUAAUCCCAGCUACUCGGGAGGCUGAGGCAGGAGAAUCGCUCGAGCCCGGGAGGUGGAGAUUGCAGUGAGCCGAGACCGCACCGCUGAACUCCAGCUCAGGCGACAGAGCGAGACUCCAUCUGAAAAAAAUACAAAUAGUCUAAAGAAAAGUCUAAAAAGCAGACACUACCACCAGGCCCUCCUUACAGACGUAGUAAUGCAGCCAGGUAUGAAGACUCAGCUCGAGAAAUUUAGUAUUUCCAAAGCGACU
rnacentral:sRNA from 1 species